rnacentral:lncRNA from 1 species
UUUUCCUGAGACAUUAUUCUUUAUUCUAUUUCUGAUUUUGGACAUUUGUUGUCUGCUUCCAGAUAUAAAACUUCUAGUUCUAUCUUCAGUGAAGCAUUUCCUGCUUCCUUUUCUCACGUUUUUCUCUAUUCUCUAGUCUAUUGUCUUGAUUUCUUCCCUCUACUUUGACUCCAAAAAAAUCUCUAGCCUGAUAGUACUGGAGAAUAGAAACAGCAAAAAGAAAAAGAAAAACAUAUCACCACUGGCAAACCUAUAGAUAAAAUUUACUUGGGCAAAGGUGGCAAACCUCCAAAACAACAGUCCAAAAUCCAGAAGAAACUAGUCGGUAAAAGUAUUAAAAACCAGAUGUUUGAAUCUGAUCCUCAAUACUAGACAGCAGCA